UCCCACUCUUUUUCUCCAAAAAUUUCUAUGCACACCCCACCUCCCUAUCUCUUUUAAAACAGUUCAAAACAUCUCUUAUCCGCGUGAGAGGAUAAAGACAAGUGGUUACACAUUUGAAUUCAAAUCAAAUUUGAAUUCAAAUGAAAAUCAACUCAUCCCUAUCCACUUGGGUGUGAGAAGAGAAGGGGCGUGGCUUCAUUUGUGCAUGGAGUGUU
rnacentral:lncRNA from 1 species